rnacentral:rRNA from 1 species
GGUGCUGCAUGGCUGUCGUCAGCUCGUGUCGUGAGAUGUUGGGUUAAGUCCCGCAACGAGCGCAACCCUUGUCUUUAGUUGCCAUCAUUAAGUUGGGCACUCUAAAGAGACUGCCGGUGUCAAACCGGAGGAAGGUGGGGAUGACGUCAAGUCCUCAUGGCCUUUAUGACCAGGGCUACACACGUACUACAAUGGCAGGUACAAAGGGCAGCCACUUAGCGAUAAGGCGCGAAUCCCGUAAAACCUGUCUCAGUCCGGAUUGGAGUCUGCAACUCGACUCCAUGAAGUUGGAAUCGCUAGUAAUCGCAGGUCAGCAUACUGCGGUGAAUACGUUCCCGGGCCUU